rnacentral:rRNA from 2 species
GGGUUGUGAGGUUAAGCGACUAAGCGUACACGGUGGAUGCCCUGGCAGUCAGAGGCGAUGAAGGACGUGCUAAUCUGCGAUAAGCGCCGGUAAGGUGAUAUGAACCGUUAUAACCGGCGAUUUCCGAAUGGGGAAACCCAGUGUGAUUCGUCACACUAUCAUUAACUGAAUCCAUAGGUUAAUGAGGCGAACCGGGGGAACUGAAACAUCUAAGUACCCCGAGGAAAAGAAAUCAACCGAGAUUCCCCCAGUAGCGGCGAGCGAACGGGGAGGAGCCCAGAGCCUGAAUCAGCAUGUGUGUUAGUGGAAGCGUCUGGAAAGGCGCGCGAUACAGGGUGACAGCCCCGUACACAAAAGCGCAUGUGCUGUGAGCUCGAUGAGUAGGGCGGGACACGUGGUAUCCUGUCUGAAUAUGGGGGGACCAUCCUCCAAGGCUAAAUACUCCUGACUGACCGAUAGUGAACCAGUACCGUGAGGGAAAGGCGAAAAGAACCCCGGCGAGGGGAGUGAAAAAGAACCUGAAACCGUGUACGUACAAGCAGUGGGAGCACCCUUCGGGGUGUGACUGCGUACCUUUUGUAUAAUGGGUCAGCGACUUAUAUUCUGUAGCAAGGUUAACCGUAUAGGGGAGCCGGAGGGAAACCGAGUCUUAAUUGGGCGUUAAGUUGCAGGGUAUAGACCCGAAACCCGGUGAUCUAGCCAUGGGCAGGUUGAAGGUUGGGUAACACUAACUGGAGGACCGAACCGACUAAUGUUGAAAAAUUAGCGGAUGACCUGUGGCUGGGGGUGAAAGGCCAAUCAAACCGGGAGAUAGCUGGUUCUCCCCGAAAGCUAUUUAGGUAGCGCCUCGUGAAUUCAUCUCCGGGGGUAGAGCACUGUUUCGGCUAGGGGGCCAUCCCGGCUUACCAACCCGAUGCAAACUGCGAAUACCGGAGAAUGUUAUCACGGGAGACACACGGCGGGUGCUAACGUCCGUCGUGAAGAGGGAAACAACCCAGACCGCCAGCUAAGGUCCCAAAGUCAUGGUUAAGUGGGAAACGAUGUGGGAAGGCCCAGACAGCCAGGAUGUUGGCUUAGAAGCAGCCAUCAUUUAAAGAAAGCGUAAUAGCUCACUGGUCGAGUCGGCCUGCGCGGAAGAUGUAACGGGGCUAAACCAUGCACCGAAGCUGCGGCAGCGAACGUAUCACCCAAGACAACUUUACGGAGUUGACGAUUGACGGAGCGAAGCGACGUCAAAGCGUUCAUUAAAGUCGAGUUGGCUUAGGGAUACGUUCGUUGGGUAGGGGAGCGUUCUGUAAGCCUGUGAAGGUGUGUCGUGAGGCAUGCUGGAGGUAUCAGAAGUGCGAAUGCUGACAUAAGUAACGAUAAAGCGGGUGAAAAGCCCGCUCGCCGGAAGACCAAGGGUUCCUGUCCAACGUUAAUCGGGGCAGGGUGAGUCGACCCCUAAGGCGAGGCCGAAAGGCGUAGUCGAUGGGAAACGGGUUAAUAUUCCCGUACUUGGUGUUACUGCGAAGGGGGGACGGAGAAGGCUAUGUUGGCCGGGCGACGGUUGUCCCGGUUUAAGCGUGUAGGUGUGUGUUCCAGGUAAAUCCGGUUCACUUUAACACUGAGGCGUGACGACGAGGCACUACGGUGCUGAAGCAACAAAUGCCCUGCUUCCAGGAAAAGCCUCUAAGCAUCAGGUAACAC